rnacentral:rRNA from 1 species
GACGAACGCUGGCGGCGUGCUUAACACAUGCAAGUCGAACGAUGAAGAAGUGAAACGCGAACUUCGGUUCAAAUUUCACUUGGGAGUAGUGGCAGACGGGCGAGUAAUGCGUUAUCAACCUACCUCUUACAAAGGGAUAGCCUCGGGAAACCGAGAUUAAUACCAUAUGACACAUUCAUAAGGUAUCUUAUGAAUGUUAAAGGUACGGCGGUAAGAGAUGGGCUCGUGUCCCAUUAGCUGGUCGGUGAGGUAACGGCCCACCAAGGGGACGGUGGGUAACCGGCCUGUGAGGGGGAACCGUCACAUUGGAGCUAAGACACAGUCCAAACUCCUACGGAAGGCAGCAGUGGGGAAUAUUGCACGAUGGAGGGAGCUCUGAUGCAGCGACGCCUGGUAAGCCAUGAUGUGGGUCGUUAAGUGCAGCUCUGUUCUAUGGGGAGAAAAUGACGGUACCAUAGGAAAAAGCCCCGGCUAAAUACGUG